UAGAUCUGUCUCUGGCGAUUUGGUGACAUCUGGCCCCAAGUAGGUGAGUCUUUAAAUAGUUUUUCUAUCUCAUCCGUAAGGAGUCUUGAAGCUUUGUCUGGAAACUCAUACCCGUAUCCUGCAAGCUCGAUGAUGACUCGCCCUGAUGAAUCACAAGAUUCCAGUUGUGAAGCACUUACACCUCCACGUAAGUCAUUCGCGGUAGGAGUGUGAGGCGCAGAUCUACUUUCUCGAAGAUCAGGACCCGUAAUAUUGUACUGUU